CCCUUAGAUGCUCUGGGCUGCACGCGCGCUACACUGACACACCCAGCGAGUCUCCUGCCCUGACAGGGUUGGGUAAUCAUUGGAGUGUGUGUCGUGAUGGGGAUAGAGUAUUGCAAUUAUUGCUCUCGAACGAGGAAUUCCUAGUAAGCACAAGUCAGCAGCUUGUGCUGAUUACGUCCCUGCCCUUUGUACACACCGCCCGUCGCUCCUACCGAGGGGGUGAUCCGGUGAAUGAUUCGGACUUUGGCGUUUCUAGCUGCUAGCAGCGCCGAAGAAAGUUUUGUGAACCUUAUCACUUGGAGGAAGGAGAAGUCGUAACG
rnacentral:rRNA from 1 species